UUUCGCAAUGCCCGAAAGGGUGACGAAGCGACGCCGCGUGUGGGAAGAAGGCCUUCGGGUUGUAAACCACUGUCGGGAGUUAGGAAAUGUAAGGGUGCUAAUAGUAUCCUUACUUGACUAAGGCUCCGGAGGAAGCCACGGCUAACUCUAUGCCAGCAGCCGCGGUAAUACAGAGGCGGCAAGCGUUGUUCGGAAUUAUUGGGCGUAAAGAGCACGUAGGCGGCCUUGUAAGUCAGUUGUGAAAGCCUUCUGCUUAACGGAAGAACAGCAUCUGAUACUGCAAGGCUAGAGUGCGGAAGGGGAGAGUGGAACUUCUGGUGGAGCGGUGAAAUGCGUAGAUAUCAGAAGGAACACCGGCGGCGAAGGCGACUCUCUGGUCCGUAACUGACGCUGAGUGUGCGAAAGCUAGGGGAGCAAACGGGAUUAGAUACCCCGGUAGUCCUAGCCGUAAACGAUGGGCACUAAGUAGAGGGGUUUUA
rnacentral:rRNA from 1 species